CCUACGGGAGGCAGCAGUGAGGAAUAUUGGUCAAUGGGCGGAAUCCUGAACCAGCCAUGUAGCGUGAAGGAUGACGGCUCUAUGGGUUGUAAACUUCUUUUAUAUCGGAGUAAAAUGCUCUACGAGUAGGGUUUUGAAUGUACGGUAAGAAUAAGGCUCGGCUAACUCCGUGCCAGCAGCCGCGGUAAUACGGAGGAUCCGAGCGUUAUCCGGAUUUAUUGGGUUUAAAGGGAGCGUAGGUUGUUUUAUAAGUUAGCGGUGAAAGACCGAUGCUCAACCGCAGGACUGCCGCUGAUACUGGAGGACUAGAGGACGGAUGCAGCAGGCGGAAUGUGUAGUGUAGCGGUGAAAUGCUUAGAUAUUACACAGAACACCGAUUGCGAAGGCAGCUUACUAGACCGGAUCUGACACUGAUGCUCGAAAGCGUGGGGAUCGAACAGGAUUAGAUACCCCUGUAGUC
rnacentral:rRNA from 1 species